CAAGGGAGCCGAGAGACAGUGCUGCAUGGCUGUCGUCAGCUCGUGCCGUGAGGUGUUGGGUUAAGUCCCGUAACGAGCGCAACCCCUGCCUUUAGUUGCGACCGGUAACGCCGAGCACUCUAAAGGGACUGCCUGGGAUAACCAGGAGGAAGGCGGGGAUGACGUCAAGUCAGCAUGGCCCUUACGUCCAGGGCUACACACGUGCUACAAUGGCCGGUACAGAGGGAAGCAAUACCGCGAGGUGGAGCAAAUCCCAUAAAGCCGGCCUCAGUUCAGAUCGGAGGCUGCAACUCGCCUCCGUGAAGGCGGAAUCGCUAGUAAUCGCGGAUCAGCAGGCCGCGGUGAAUACGUUCCCGGGCCUU
rnacentral:rRNA from 1 species